rnacentral:lncRNA from 1 species
GGACCUGUAAUAUAUUGUGAAAAUUCACAUAAUACAACAAAAUAAACAAGCUACAAGAGAUUUGAGCUGAACAAGAACGAACACAUAAAAUAAACACGGUACUCGAAAUGUGACCUAUUGUAUCAGAAAUCCUGAGGUGAGGUUUUUGCUGUUGCUGAGCAACUCAUGCAUAUGCAUGCACCGCCGUUUCCUCCAUUUCUUUCCUUUCGAUCCGAUAACCCGACGACGAAUUUAAUCAAGUUACCGACAAUGUUUAAUUUCACUUGCCCUCGUCGAGGAGGUAGCUCUUGUUUUGGCUUGCUCUUGUGCUGGCAAGCUGGAGAUUUCAUGUUGUUCAUGUGUCUGAAAGCUGGAGAUGAGUGAGAUGACUUGUAGUGAUGAAACACGAGAGGCAGAGGAAAACAGAGUAAAACAAACCUGAAAAAGAGUAGGAGAGAAAUCAAGGAUAUAUUGGACUACAAG